CCAUUGGUCCAUGCCUCGCCUUUCAUUUCUUAGGUGGAUUCCAUGGGUGGGACAAGACUGAGCAAGAACAGUUGAAAGAGGAAGUUAAAAAAAUUGCCGGACCAAUUUGUGAGUGCCUGCCUGCAUGCCAUGAUGACUGAUCUUGUGCCAAUGUUGCCCGUGUUUCCUAAUUGAUUCCAAAAGUCUUCAAAGAGGUCUUCCCUUGGGAGUGUCCUUGUAUUACUACUUUUAAUCUCUAUGUGAGCACUUGCACUGAUCAAGGAGACUGUGAAGCUCACCUGGCAAGAUAAUGUAGCAGACCCGCAAAAGACUUUUCUUGAGCUGUAUUGCCAAGCUCAAAUCUACUGCAGAGAGUGCAACUCCAUUGAGCUGGCCAUGCUGUUCAAAUGCCAAACAUAUUUUGUGGAGAAUUCACGCAAAACAAGUACUCACAUGGAAAUCAGAAGAAGCAAUACAAAUACACUCUCAAGGUCUCUCUGAAGAAGUUUGGAAUCAAUUACUUGACAAUAUGAUGCUGGCAAAGAAUAAUCCAACAUGAAGUACCUGCAUCAAAGAAAGCACUAUGCUCUAUGAGUGGAGCAGAAUUUCAGUAGCUCAAAAAAACAUGAGAUAAGAAAUUUAGAAACAUUUUCACCCUAAAUGUUCAUCGAAUUUGUUUGUACCCAACCUGUGGUAAAGUAUCCUGAGGUUAUAUUGAUCAGCCACAGUUGAAAACACUGUACUUUUUUUCCAACAUGAAUGAAGGAUAGCAAUCAACUAACCAAUCUGUCUAUCUAUAAUCCCUUUGCCAAAAAAAUAGGAAAAAACUUUAAAGUUUGGACACUGCCUUUCUUUUAAAAAAAUUAAUUAAAAUUUUAAUUU